rnacentral:rRNA from 1 species
UACGGAGGGGGCUAGCGUUAUUCAGAAUUACUGGGCGUAAAGCGCGCGUAGGUGGUUUUUUAAGUUGAGGGUGAAAUCCCGGAGCCUAACUCCGGAACUGCCUUCAAAACUGGAAAACUUAGAGUGUGAGAGAGGUAAGUGGAAUUUCUAGUGUAGAGGUGGAAUUCGUAGAUAUUAGAAGGAACACCAGUGGCGAAGGCGGCUUACUGGCUCACAACUGACACUGAGGCGCGACAGCGUGGGGAGCAAACAGG